rnacentral:rRNA from 1 species
GAUGAACGCUAGCGGCAGGCUUAACACAUGCAAGUCGAGGGGUAACAUUGUGCUUGCACAGAUGACGACCGGCGCACGGGUGCGUAACGCGUAUAGAACCUACCUUUUACAGGGGAAUAGCCUUUAGAAAUGAAGAUUAAUGCCCCAUAGUAUUGAGACUUGGCAUCAGGUUUUAAUUAAAGAUUUAUCGGUAAAAGAUGGCUAUGCGUCCUAUUAGUUAGUUGGUAAGGUAACGGCUUACCAAGACAGCGAUAGGUAGGGGUCCUGAGAGGGAGAUCCCCCACACUGGUACUGAGACACGGACCAGACUCCUACGGGAGGCAGCAGUGAGGAAUAUUGGACAAUGGAGGCGACUCUGAUCCAGCCAUGCCGCGUGUAGGAAGAAUGCCCUAUGGGUUGUAAACUACUUUUAUACAGGAAGAAACACUGGUAUGUAUACCAGCUUGACGGUACUGUAAGAAUAAGGACCGGCUAACUCCGUGCCAGCAGCCGCGGUAAUACGGAGGGUCCAAGCGUUAUCCGGAAUCAUUGGGUUUAGAGGGUCCGCAGGCGGUCAAUUAAGUCAGAGGUGAAAUCCCAUAGCUCAACUAUGGAACUGCCUUUGAUACUGGUUGACUUGAGUCAUAUGGAAGUAGAUAGAAUGUGUAGUGUAGCGGUGAAACGCAUAGAUAUUACACAGAAUACCGAUUGCGAAGGCAGUCUACUACGUAUGUACUGACGCUGAGGGACGAAAGCGUGGGGAGCGAACAGGAUUAGAUACCCUGGUAGUCCACGCCGUAAACGAUGGAUACUAGUUGUUGGGAUUUAUCUCAGUGACUAAGCGGAAGUGAUAAGUAUCCCACCUGGGGAGUACGGUCG